rnacentral:rRNA from 1 species
AUAAUGUAGCAAUACAUUGUUAGUGGCAAACGGGUGAGUAAUAUAUAGGUAAUCUGCCCUUUUAGUCUGGGAUAACUUGCCGAAAGGUGAGCUAAUACUGGAUACGUUCCUAGGGUCGCAUGGCUCCGGGAAGAAAGAUUUAUUGCUAAAGGAAGAGCCUAUAUCUGAUUAGCUAGUUGGUGGGGUAAUGGCCUACCAAGGCGACGAUCAGUAGCUGGUCUGAGAGGACGAACAGCCACACUGGGACUGAGACACGGCCCAGACUCC